UGUAGGACUGGUGCCAACA
rnacentral:snRNA from 1 species